rnacentral:rRNA from 1 species
UACGGGGGGGGCAAGCGUUGUUCGGAAUUACUGGGCGUAAAGGGUUCGUAGGCGGCCAACUAAGUCAGACGUGAAAUCCCCAGGCUUAACCUGGGAACUGCGUCGGAUACUGGAUGGCUUGAAUUCGGGAGAGGGAUGCAGAAUUCCAGGUGUAGCGGUGAAAUGCGUAGAUAUCGGGAGGAACACCUGUGGCGAAAGCGGCAUCCUGGACCGAUAUUGACACUGAUGAGCGAAAGCCAGGGGAGCAAACGGG